GAUCAAAACACAAAUUGGUCAAAGGAGGACUUUUAUCAAAUUAAUAUCUUCCAUUCAUUUUGGGAGAUGGAAUGUACAUUCCAUCAAUCCCCUAAAUCCAAUGAUAUUAACUUGGCAAAGUCAAAUCAACCUUGUCCAAGGCCCAACAACAAGAGUCAAACAUAAACAAGUCAUCACAAUUGGUCAACAAAUUUAUUUGGCAUUUAU
rnacentral:lncRNA from 1 species